AACGAACGCUGGCGGCAUGCCUAACACAUGCAAGUCGAACGAGACCUUCGGUCCUGGUACCCCACGGGCGCGCGACGCGUUGACACCUGCCUUUAGUUUCGUGCUCACUCCCCGAAGGGUGUGCUACUACCGCUAAUUCCCUUUGGGCCAACGCUCUAUCGCCUUUGUGUGGGACCGCGUUGGAUUAGCGAGUUGGUAGGGUAAAAGCAUAGCUAGGCGACGGUCCAUAGCUGGUCGGAGAGGACGACCAGCCACCCUGGGGCUGAGACACGGCCCAGACUGCUACGGAGGGGAGCAGUAGGGAAUAUUGGACGAGGGGGGAAGGCGUGAUCCAGCAGCGCCGCGUAAGUGAUGAAGGCCGUAGGGUUGUAAAGCUCUUUUACCCGGGACGAUAAUGACGGUACCGGGAGAAUAAGCACCGGCUAACUCCGUG
rnacentral:rRNA from 1 species